rnacentral:rRNA from 1 species
UACGAAGGGGGCUAGCGUUGCUCGGAAUCACUGGGCGUAAAGCGCACGUAGGCGGAUCUUUAAGUCAGGGGUGAAAUCCUGGAGCUCAACUCCAGAACUGCCUUUGAUACUGAGGAUCUCGAGUCCGGGAGAGGUGAGUGGAACUGCGAGUGUAGAGGUGAAAUUCGUAGAUAUUCGCAAGAACACCAGUGGCGAAGGCGGCUCACUGGCCCGGUACUGACGCUGAGGCACGAAAGCGUGGGGAGCAAACAGGG